rnacentral:lncRNA from 1 species
GUCUCCAACCUCUUCCGCUGCCUGCGCUCACGGCACUUACCUCCACAGUCGGGAUCGGCGCAGUCAGCUGCUCCGGAGUCAGGCUCCCGAACUCCUCGGCUAGAACAUCCAUUCCAUUCACGGUAGAGGAAGAAGUCGGCAGAAUGUUCACAUCCGCCCGUGCGGCUCCAAGCAAGUAGCACGCGGAGAGUGGUGUGCGUUCUCCUCCGGUGUCCCCGUGGCGCUUGUUUACGGGGAGGCGUUUCAAAAGGUUCCGCCUGGUCAGGGCCUAACCUGCGGAGGAACCCGGAAGUGACCGAGCCGGAUGUGGAAAACUACACCCACUGGUGUACUUCCGAGGUCUCGCCGGGCUAAUCCUAGCCUCUUGACAGGCUCAUUUCCAAAGGAAACGUCAGAGGGACGGAGUUUGUUACCACUACACCGAAUAAACGAAGGAUUGCACAUAAUCCUCCCACGGCAGCACAGACACCUAUAAUCCCAGCAUUUAGAAGCUAGAGGUAGGAGGGCAUCCAGAAAUUCAAGGGCAUCCUUGGCUACCUAACAAGGUCGAGGCCAGCCUGGGCUACAUGAAACCCUGUCUCCAAAGAAAAGGUAAUGUAUUAAUAACAUUGAUUGGUGAAAGAUUUCAAGGAUGGCAACGGAGAAAGCAUAAGAAUUGCUAAAAGUUGUAUUCCAUUAAUUUUUAAAAAAUUAGAUACACCUAUAAAAAAUCUCUAUGAAUAGUAAACACACAGUUGGUAGAAGACAAAAGGAUUUGUCACUGAAAUUGGAAAUGAGUUCAUGCAAGUCCAAUGGUAAGAAAAAUCCCAUGGGAAGAAGAGGUAAAAGAUGCCAACAGUUUUUAAAUGAGUUUCAGUUUGGGAACAUACAAAAAUUGUGGAGAUGGAUGGUGUCACAUGAGUGUGUACAAUGCUCCUGGCCAUUUAAUAGUUGAACUAUUUAAUAGUUCACCUGUAUAAUUAGCACCAUCUAAUAAUAUGUGUUCUUUUUUUUUUUUAAACCUGGUCCAAGGUAAUCUGCGUACAGAGUUAGCUAGUUAAAUUUCAGUGCUUGUAUCUAAACGUUGUGCUGAUAGACUUCUGAAACUAAGUGAAGAAAGAAAGAAAAAAAUUACAGGCCACCAAGAUGGCUCAGUAUGUUAAGUCACCUGCCACAAAGCUUGAAAAGCCGCGUUCAGCCCCCAAGACCCACAUUGUAGAAGGAGAGAAGCAACUCUAAAGAGCUGUCCUCUGAUCCCCAUACUCACAUGUAAGACAAAUCAUUUAAAACUAAGAAUGAUCAGCCCCCCCCCCCCUUAAAUCCUUAAGAUUUACUCAGAGAAACUACAUUUGAAUGGUCCCUGUGAGUUAUUAUACCAGAGAGCACCCUACUUAGUGUAGUCUGGAAGGGGUUGGGAAAGGGAGCUGAAGACUUGAGGACAUCAAGUUUGGCUCAGGUGUGUCAGCUGUCUUCUACAAAGUCAUCUUGGAUUCCCACUAUGAAGAUGGUUCUACUGUAAACCAGAUCACAGACACCUGGAGAACUAAAAAAUCUCAGCUUUCUGAUUGGCAGGCUGGAGCUGGAAAUCUGCAUUUCUAGCAAGAUCUCUGCUGCUGUGACCUAAUACCAUAACCUCUGUACUUGUCUAGUUCUUCAGUCUGUGAAUGCUGGAAUGAAAAUGGCCUUGCAUUCCAGGUUCUAGUGCAUUGUUUGUUCCUUAAUAAGUUUGUGUUGAAUUCAUAAUUUGAAAAUAGAAUUGCAGUAGGUAAUAAUAAGUUUAACAUUGUAUUUCUGUUUUUCACCGAGUUUUUAAAGUUUCUUUUGAAAUGAAGGACACUUUGGAGGAUGCAGUCCCUAAUCUUCAUGGCUACACUUAGUUGACAGUGAUGAUGUUGGCUAUUAGACCACAAUUCCUUGUAAGAUUUCUUGCAUUACACCUGUAUCCCAGAUCAAACCCAUGACUUCUUUUUUAUCUCUAGGAGGCUAGACUUUGGAAGCAAGGUGGGGAAAAAGCCAGGGGUAGUUUUGUGCUUCCUCAGUAUUAUGCUACCAUAUCCUUUUACUGAGGUAUUAAUACAAAAGCCUAAAGCAUAAGGUGUGGGAGCUCCCGGAGGACAAGUGCUGUGCAUCCUGAGCCAUCCUUUAUACAAGGCGAAUGGGUAUGUGUUAGCCAAGUGAAAAGUUAUCCAAUGCCAUGGGGGCAAGAAUGGCUGACUGAGGGACACUGUAAUCUGUAAUGGGAGAGGUGUUUAGGACUCUGGGAAACUGGGAAAAGUGUACAUUAAUUUGAACAUUACUCCUUAACAGGUAUUUGAUUGCUAUCUUUAGGUGGAUUCUCUAAUUAUCCACCCUUGGUGGUAAGUAGAGAUCUUCAUUUGACAAGCUAAGGCAGUGGUUAAGAAAUUUGGCUCACACCUUUAAUCUCAGCACUUAGGAGGCAGAAAGGCAGGUGAGUUUCUAAGUUCAAGGCUAGCCUGACCUACAGAGUAAGUUUGAAGACAGCCAGGGCUACACAAAAAAACCCUGUCUCAAAAAAAAAAAAAAAGAAAGUAGGAAGGGAGGAAGGAAGGAAGGAAAGAAGGGAGGGGGGGAGGGAGAGGGAGGAAGGAAGAGAAAAAGGAAAAGCAAUUUUUCAAAUGGAGUUGGGAUUUAAAUCCCUAAUUAUCUUAGCCCAGGACAUGUUAGGUCUCAAACUCAGGUUCCUUUGAGACCUAAUACUUUUAAACCACUGAAUACUGACACCACACCAAAAGCAUGGGGAGGCAAAGACAUUUUAACACGCAGAGCUAUGAGAGUUUAUUUUUCUAUGCUGGCAACUGUAUGUGGUGCUCAUGCAGGGCUUGCCAAGGACAAGUUUGUUUGGUGGCACUGGAGACCCAGCAGAGCUGUGCAUUUUACAGCCUUUGUCUCAUGUUAAAGAACUUAGAUAUGUUUCUGAGGCUUUAUCAGAAUAUGAUAGAAUAUAUCCCAUCACUACAUUCCAGGUGUAAGAAAAUAUCUCCAGUGCUGUUUCUGUCCGUGGAUAUGAAAGAUCCUGACAGAAUGUAAAAGGUCACAGAAGCCCUGAAAUUGGCAAGAUAGAUGUCACUGUUAGCAGAACUAGCUUCACUGAUUUAGAAAAAUAGAGGUGCACAAUGCUCUGGCCACUCCUUGAACCUGUGUGUCUGCCAAUGCUUUGACCAUUCCUUGAACCCAUGUGUGUGCCCACUGAUGAAGCCCAUUGCCGGGUGUUUGUAAUAUUGGUUGCUGAGAAAGAGUCAGAAAAUCUCCCCAGCAACCACAGCCCGGCCAAUCCAGAGUUGCUACACCUGCACCAGACUCUUUCCUUGUACCCAUUUCUUGAGAAUAGACAUUGUUUAGAUCUGGAAAUCCCCUAAUCUCCCCCUUUUCCUUUCCCCCCUGAGGGCCUAUAAAAACUGGGACCUCUUUUCCCUCGAGGUCAACUCCUCUACCCCUGCGUGGGAUAUGAGUCGUCCCCAGAGCUCUGGCCUUCCCCGAAUAAAGCCUCAUGUGGUUUACAU